CCUAAAAUAUACGCUUUUAAAAUUUAGAGUAACCGACCGUCCCUAGCGCAAAUGGCAAAGGACUUGUUGAUUGGUAUCCGAGGUUCCAAAUUCGAAUCUUAGUUGAUUCAUAUUUCCAGCUAAGUUUAUUUCUAAAUGAAAUAAACAAAGCGGGUAGCAUGCUACCUAUCUCUCUCAAAAAAAAAAAAAAAAAAAUUUA
rnacentral:lncRNA from 1 species